rnacentral:lncRNA from 1 species
AUCAUUGGUGGCUCUUUGGGGUUGAGGGGUGCUCCUCCGAGGAAGGAGCCUUCGUUUGGGGCUUAGCCCGUGCAACCCCUUAGGUCCAUUCCUCUCCAAGAAUCGGUCUCCCAAUCUUCUACAUCCUCAUCACAUCGAGGUUCGAGCAUCCCCCAGAUUUCAGUGCGAAUAUCUUCUUAUUCGACUGAUCUACCGAUUGAAGUUUCUUUGGAGCUGAAAGCUCUGGCUCGAUUUGAGGCUCGGGAAGAU